ACUCCUACGGGAGGCAGCAGUGGGGAAUAUUGCACAAUGGGCGCAAGCCUGAUGCAGCCAUGCCGCGUGUGUGAAGAAGGCCUCGGUUGUAAAGCACUUUCAGUCGUGAGGAAGGUAGUGUAGUUAAUAGCUGCAUUAUUUGACGUUAGCGACAGAAGAAGCACCGGCUAACUCCGUGCCAGCAGCCGCGGUAAUACGGAGGGGUGCGAGCGUUAAUCGGAAUUACUGGGCGUAAAGCGCAUGCAGGUGGUUUGUUAAGUCAGAUGUGAAAGCCCGGGGCUCAACCUCGGAAUAGCAUUUGAAACUGGCAGACUAGAGUACUGUAGAGGGGGUAGAAUUUCAGGUGUAGCGGUGAAAUGCGUAGAGAUCUGAAGGAAUACCGGUGGCGAAGGCGGCCCCCUGGACAGAUACUGACACUCAGAUGCGAAAGCGUGGGGAGCAAACAGGAUUAGAUACCCUGGUAGGAUAGCG
rnacentral:rRNA from 1 species